rnacentral:lncRNA from 1 species
UCCAGCUGAAAAAGAGUUUAGCAUGGCUCCUUCUGGCUCAGUCAGACGGUCAGCUCCUUGAAAGGAGCUGCCCCCAAAGGUGAAUGAAUCUCCAAAUGGAGCUUUACAUGUGGUGAUACACAGGGUGUUCUCAGAACAAGGCUAGUCACCAAAUGGGGAGCUGGAUUAAAUUGGUUGAGGUUUUCUUCUCUGGUUAUGCUUUGGUAGGUAGAACAAAGAGAGAAAAAGAAAGAAUCCCAAUGGGUAGAACACAAGAGUAUGAGUGUGGAGUUCGGGGAUCUGCCCUCCAUUUGUGUAGGUCCCUGGACAAUUCCUUUAAUCUCAGUGUAUUUGAUUUUACCAUAAAUAGAACUAAGACUCUACAUACUUUCUAAGAUGUUUUCCAUUAAAUAUGACAGACAAAAUUAUAAAGGUUAAGUAGAGAGGAAAAAAAGUCUCUACUUGAGCAUUAUCUUCUCUAACAACUUAGGUUUAUCUUCCUAUUUUCUCUGUAGUCAGUAUGCAGAGUCACAUAGAUGCAAUUUCUAGAGAUGAACAUUUUUGUGGGAAAAAAACCACUGACAAGCAAAACUUAGGGGCCAGGGCACUAUCAUGACAAAGCAGCCCGACAAACCCAUCUAGUCAAUGCUUUAUUUCUUACUAUUGACUCCAAAGUUGGGUGUUGAGUGAGUACACCAGAGUGGAGAAGCAGCCAGCUUAGGACCCAGGCUUAGUUUGUAUGAGUGAGUGUUGGAAUAUUUAGGAAUAACCAACAUGAAACCUGGACAGAAGAUAAGUUUCAAGCUUUUAGACAAAAUAGAGUUAGUGUAUAAGGGAUUAAUGCUGUAAUUUAUGAAUGAAAGUGUGACUUUCCUGCUAGUCUGUGGGUUGCAUGAGAAUGGGUGCCACAUCAAUGUUCCCCAAGGUUUCCUUAGUUCUAACACAAUGUGAUAAAAUAUAACUCCCAUUGGGAGAGAGUCAAGAGAGCAGAAUUCAAGAGGCUCAAAUUAGGCUAGAGAAACCUAGGUCAAAUAAGAGGAACAUAGAAAAAAGAGAUAUGACCCAGAAACUGGAAGAUGUCAGUAGACACAAGUCAGAGCAGAAGAUACUCACUGGGUAUCUGGAACAGAGGAAGACUGAGUGGCCGUAGCAGAAAUCAGAAGUGCAGAAUGAGCAUCAGAUGUACAAGAGAAGAUGCUAAGACUGGAGGCAGAGGCAAACUCAGAUCCAAACACCUGAGCUCAUAAGUUUAAGGGAAAGUGCUUUGAUCUGAGCCUUAGAGAGAGGAUUUAAAAAAAAAAAUAACACGGGCCUAGAUUCCUAGUCCAAGUUUUCCUGAUUCUAAAGGACCCAGGAUCCUUUACAAGUAAUUUAAAAUUUUAAAUCUACAUUGCUUUAAGUAAUUAAAAAUUGUCAGUUAAACCAAAGGAGGAGGGAAGGGAGGAAGAAGAAGAAAAGAAGAAGAAAAAGAAAAGGAAGGAGGAGAAGAAGGGAAGGAAAGGGAACAGAAGAAUCUGUCACAGCUGGACAGGGUCUGACCAGCCAUGACAAAGCAAAACUAAGCAGUAAUCCAAAGAGACAUACAAAAACCAAGAGAAUUAAGUAUUCUAGUAUAGCUUGGAGAUUCUAGGCACCUGCUGGAAGAUCCUGACACCACCAGUCUUGAAAGCAAUGCCAUCUCCUGAACUUUUUCAUGUUCUGCCUAUCGGUUGCAAAUCACAGUUUUAAAAGUAGCAGUAAUGUUGUAGCAAAGCUAUGAGCAUUGUUAUUAUAUAGUGAAAAAAUGUUUAAACUUGGAAAAAUAGCAUAUUUGAAAAUGUUUAUUUUAAACACACACACACAUAUAAACUUCGCUAAACUUUUAUUUCCUAAAUUUAUGAAAACCAACUAAAUUCUUUUGGUGGACUUUUUAGCUAAAAAGUAAAUCUACACAUCCUGUACUAUGUUGAAUAAGUAAGGAAUGUUUCAAUCUAAACCUGUUGACUUUUUCUCUUCUAAAUAAAUAGCUACUAUUAAUAAUUCAGUUGUCCAAAUGAGAGAAAAACAUAAAUUCAAGCCACUCUUCAAUGACUUUAGAUGAUGUCACUAAGCCAUGCUUUGACUGUGAUUCAUUUCAUGACUAAAAUCCAUUGAGACUGAUUGUUUCUCAUCAUCAUCUGGUCUUUGGAGGGAUGGUGGAUGUCUUCUACAGGAGACAGUAGAUCAAUGGCCAAAAGCCAAUAGAAACAAACAGAUGUUGUAGUUACCAAGUUGGAAAAGGAAUACUUGGAUUUGCUUCCAAAAGUCUCUUGUCAGAAUUGUGGAAAAGAGGAAACCCAUAGUUGAUGCUCUACCUCGCAUUUGAUGGAAAACAUUCAGAUGCAUUUGUCUAAACUCAUCAAAGAACUUUGGCAAGUUGGUCUUUCCAAUAAAUAUAAACCAAAAAAUGCGUAAAUUUAAACCCCUAUGUACAGUAAUUCCCACCAACCUCCAAAUGUAUUUUCUUAGAAAUGUGUGUGAAAAACUGAAGCAAAUCCUACACAUAAGCAAAAAUUUACCUUAUGCUAGAAUAUGGGAGCAUUAACAAGAAGGAAUGAGCAAGAAUUUAUUUUUGCUGAGCAAGUUCAUCUAUGGAAAUGUCAGAUAUGUGUUCUUCUAAAAGAUUAAGGGAGAAAGAUUGUCUUCCCAUUAUAAGAAAAAGGGAAGGGGACUGACCAGUGUGUUUCUGUAUGAAUUUCUAAACCAAAAAUCACCUUAUACAUGAAAAUGAAAGGGUUUUAUUUGAAAUACUAUGGAAUUAGAACCUGUCCACUAGCCAUGGACCUUGAAGAUGUCCCUGGUGUGUGAAUAGAGAGAAGGGGGGGGUCUAUUAAUUGUGGACUAUUGGUACCAAUAAGCCAAAAGUAAGGGGAGAAGAGGUGUUACCUACUUCCCCAAAGUACUUUAAGGCCAGAAAUAUGUGAAUAAAGUCAAGUGGGAAUGGACAAUAACAACCAGACAAGGCAGAGUUCCUGGCCACUUUUCAGAAUGCAGAUUUCCUGGUAUAAAUAGUCCUGAAGAAUGCAAAGUUUGCCUACCACAUAUGUGUGGUAGGCAAAAUUCUGAGUUAACUCCCCACUCCAAAAUGACCUGUGCCCUCAUCAAACCUGUUCCCUUGAGUGCAAGCUGAAACUGUGCACAGGAUGAGCUAUCACACCUAUGAUCAUGUUAACAUGAUACCACCAAAGGAGAUAAUCCAGGUUAGCAUACUUUUAAAGCACAAUCCCUUGAAGAUGGAAGAGGCCACAUAGAAGAUCCUAGGGAAGCCCUCCCUUGCUGAUAGCUAGCAGACAAUUGUGCUCAUCCUAUACCUGCAAGGAAAUGGAUUCUGCUUGCAACAAAUGAAUUCAGUAGAGAUCCCAAGGCUCAAAUGAGGACUGCAGUCCUGUGAGACCCUGAGAAGAGACCCUAGUUGCACUACAAUUAGGCUUCUGAUUUUCACAACUAUGAGACGAUAAAUGGGUGUUGUUUUAAGCCACUAAAUUGUCAUACUCUGUUCUACAUCAAUAGAAAAUGCUUACAAAUUGAUAGCUAUAUUUGCUGCAUCAGUAUGACUAAUAUGGAAAAAAAAAUCUCCUUACAUAGUGGAUGUAAAUCAUAUAAGUCUGCCAAACUCAGAGAUUCUGUGUUUUUAAUAACAACCUUCUCUGAUUGUGCAUCAUGUUAGUCACUGUUUAAAAAUAAUCCCUUUAAUUGAACAGAUGACAUACUUAGUUUGUAUCUAUGAGAUGUUUCUUCCUAGAAACUGUUUAAAAUCCAUAAAAGAUGUUUCAGAAUUUUUUUUAGUAAUCAGAAUCACUUUGCAUUAUUAUACCAUAGAGAGUUUAUAUUAAAUUUUAGAAAAUUUAUAGCACUUUAUGGGAAAUAUUUUUACUUUGGUGAUCCAAAUCUGCGUGCAAAGGUAGUUCAAAUCAUAUGUUCACUUAAUGUGAACUUUGAGUGUUUUCCAACAUGAGAAUUUGAUCCAAUGUCCGUAAUUUCACAAGAUAUAAAUCUGGUAGCCAUAGAAUGGAAAACCAACAGGGCCAGGCACAUAAACCAUGAGCAGUGAAGAGGUAUGUCUCCAUUUGUUCUCUGUAUUCCCCUAUUCCUCCCCCAAACAAAUCUUGUUUUACUUACAUCUGUUCUUUUUUUUUUAAAUUUUUUCUGUUUGAAAUAACUAGUACCUAUAGUAAACUACCACAUAUGGUAACAAAAACCCUAUCAACUUAAGAUCAUAUUUAAUACUGAUAUUUUAGUAUGUUUAAUUGAAGCAAAUGAGUCACAAACCACAAAUUAAACAACCCCUCUUCUGGGUGAAAAGUCUCUCUCAAAUAUUUAAAAGAAACUCUUCAUGCAAAACUGUAAUGAGCAGGAAAAAAGUAUUCUUCCCCUGUGGAAUGAGCCUAUUUGGCACUUUAAAAAAAAAAAAACUUGAACUGUAACAGUUUUUAGUUGUAGUUCUAUUGCAAUUUGUAUCACAAAUAUUGAUUCUGAAGGCCAAAAACAAAUCUGGUAAAAUAUUAGAAACACCACACAUUACAUCUGGAAAACAAUUAAAACAGCAUCCCAGGUAUGCUUAAAUGGGAUGCCAUGGCAUAGAAGAAAUAUUAAAUGAAAUUGUAUAUAUUAAAAACUUGAGAGACUCUUUGCCACUAUUAGGAACAGGCAAGUAUAUCCAAGAAAAUGAGUUAAUAUAUUUAAAAGACUUAGAACGAUGCUGAACUGUUCAGCACUUAUUAUUACUAUAAUUAUGAUUAUCAUCAUUAUUAAGUGUACUCUGGGACAUCAUCUGACUUUGGACAUCAUUUGAUCUUUGUUAUCGACCACAGGGGUUCCAGGUGCAUUUUCAAGGACAAGUUUAUGAUAAUAGAAUUGAAGGGAUUAAAGGAGUAUAAAUAAUUCCAAAACAAAUCAGAAAUAGCCACAGCACAGUUAUUAUUGCUUAGGUGUCUAGAAAAUUAUUCAUGGUAUUCCCUACUUACUUGUCAUGGUUCAUUGCCAUGUCCGCUCAGAUCUAUUCACUUCUGACUGGCACUGAGGCAACACUUGUUACACUCACGCCUGCAGCCUCUCUGGCAGUUCAUUGUUGUUAUGAGUCCUCUUCCCUCUUUCUCAUAGUUGGCUUGCCAUUCAGCAGCACUGUUCAUGAGCCUCUUGAUUUACCAUUUUGUCCCACAGACAGCACAGGACGAUUACUCAGUGGGAAAGAGAGACCCAUUGUUCCCAUUCAUCAUCAUUUGAUGAACACCUGGGAAGGCAUCCAGGAUGCCCUAAGACAUUGAUUUUAAAAUAUUGUGCUCAACGAGCUCUUGUGCAACCAGUGUAUUGAAUGGACCAAAGAGUGGAAGAAGGAAAGAUUUUUAUUUUUUCACUCAGCUGUCUUCAAACUCAUUCUGUCAUAUUUUCCUUCCUUUUCUCUUGCCCAUAAAUUAAGCAGAUUCCAUAGCUUUCCGAUUAAUUUCAGGCUUUAAAACUGUCUCCUUUUCCAUCUCCUUUCCAGUCUAAUCUAAGUCGAAGCAACCAUUUUUUACCCGAUUUUUAAGCUUCUCCUCUCCACCCUCAUUGUAUUUGGAAGCAAGGACAUGGCUUGAUCUUUCACUAUGUCUCCACCUGUUCUUUCAUCUUCAUCCCUAACUCACUAUGCUUUUUCUGGCUCAUCCAAACCAGAGAGGGGAAGAGGGUGGACAUUAAAAGGGAAAUUCUAUUUUUAAUGAGUAGGUACUAUAUGGAGUUCCCUCUCUCAGUUGGUGGAAACCCUCUGUCAUGGAAGAUGCCCAGACUUUGGCUCCCUCACACAAGUGACGUUUUGGAGGGUCUCACCUUAGAAACCUUCAACAUUACACCAUUUACAAAAGCAGGCGAUAUUCCCUUUGGAUAACUUCCCAUUCCUGAUGGUAGCCCAUAAACCUCUCCCUGUGGUUCACCUUGCUCUGCCAGGUGUUGUCUCCACAGGGCUCUGCUCUGGCUCCUCCCACAGUCCCGCUCUGGUUCAAAGAAACACAGUCCUGCCCUCCCACUGGUGGAGUUAAUUGCUCCAACUAUAGUCUUUCUCCCACACUGGAUUUUCAGCAGGAAGCCCAGGCAGCUUCUCAUGUUUUAGAUUAUUCUAGAUGAAAAUCAGACAUAUGACUGCUGUCUAUUGAAACCAGGGUAAAUGGAUCAACAAUACCCAAGAACUUGCUAAUCCACUCUACCUUGGUACCUACUCAUUUCUGCAGGUCAGCCAGUAACCAACCAGGGAGAAGAAAUGUUCAGUUUCCCCUCCCCCUAAGACUCCCUUCACCCUUGAAGAAGAAAUUUAACUUGAGUCAGAGAAAAACAGCUCCCUCCUGACUAGACAAGAAUCCUUUUAGACCAUCUUUCUCCUCUGUCAGACCCCUCUGCUCCAAAUUUAUCAUCUUGUAUAACAAGGGCUAAGGAUCAUAAGAUCAUUUUAAUUUCCUUUUAGCAGUCCUAUGGAAAUGUCUGUGUUGGUCUCAACAACAAGAAACCACUUAAAAUCCACUGAUUCCAGCUUUGAAGACCAAUGACACUCUGUGAAAACAGGAAGGUCAUAUUUAACAUAUGGUGCUCUAGAAUUAUACAAGAAUAAAUACAUAGUGUUUGUGGGUUCUCUUAACCUAACAAUUAGUUUAAACUUUAUUAAGAAUAGGCCUGGAGUUCCUGUCUUGGUUCAACAGUAAUGAGCCUGACUAGUAUCCAUGAGGAUGUGGGUUUGGUCCCUGGCCUUGCUCAGUGGAUUAAGGAUCUGGCAUUGCCGGGAGCUGUGGUAUAGGUUGUAGACUCAACUUGGAUCCCAUGUUGCUGUGGGUGUGGUGUAGGCCAGCAGCUGCAACUCCAAUUCAACCCCUAGUCUGGAAACUUCCAUAUGCCAUGGGUGUGGCCAUUUAG